rnacentral:rRNA from 1 species
AUACGAAGGGUGCAAGCGUUAAUCGGAAUUACUGGGCGUAAAGCGCGCGUAGGUGGUUUUGUAAGUUGGAGGUGAAAGCCCCGGGCUCAACCUGGGAAUUGCCUCCAAAACUGCAUGACUAGAGUACGGUAGAGGGUAGUGGAAUUUCCUGUGUAGCGGUGAAAUGCGUAGAUAUAGGAAGGAACACCAGUGGCGAAGGCGAUUACCGGGACUGAUACUGACACUGAGGGGCGAAAGGGUGGGGAGAAAAAAGGAUUAGAUACCCUGGUAGUCCACGCCGUAAACGAUGUCAACUAGCCGUUGGGAUCCUUGAGAUCUUAGUGGCGCAGCUAACGCGUGAAGUUGACCGCCUGGGGAGUACGGCCGCAAGGUUAAAACUCAAAGGAAUUGACGGGG